GGGGAAUAUUGGACAAUGGGGGCAACCCUGAUCCAGCCAUGCCGCGUGUGUGAAGAAGGCCUGCGGGUUGUAAAGCACUUUUAGUGGGGAAGAUAAUGACGUUACCCACAGAAAAAGCACCGGCUAACUCCGUGCCAGCAGCCGCGGUAAUACGGAGGGUGCAAGCGUUAAUCGGAAUUACUGGGCGUAAGGCGUGCGUAGGCGGCUCUUUAAGUCGGAUGUGAAAUCCCCGGGCUCAACCUGGGAACUGCAUCCGAUACUGGGGAGCUAGAAUGUGGGAGAGGGAAGUGGAAUUUCCGGUGUGGCGGUGAAAUGCAUAGAGAUCGGAAGGAACAUCAGUGGCGAAGGCGACUUCCUGGACCAACAUUGACGCUGAGGCACGAAAGCGUGGGUAGCAAAC
rnacentral:rRNA from 1 species